rnacentral:rRNA from 1 species
UACGUAGGGUGCAAGCGUUAAUCGGAAUUACUGGGCGUAAAGGGCGCGUAGGCGGUACUUCAAGUCAGGCGUGAAAGCCCCGGGCUCAACCUGGGAACCGCGCUUGAGACUGGCAUGCUCGAGUUCGGGAGAGGAUGGUGGAAUUCCCAGUGUAGAGGUGAAAUUCGUAGAUAUUGGGAAGAACACCGAUGGCGAAGGCAGCCAUCUGGACCGACACUGACGCUGAGGCGCGAAAGCGUGGGGAGCAAACAGG